rnacentral:rRNA from 1 species
AUUGAACGCUGGCGGCAUGCUUUACACAUGCAAGUCGAACGGCAGCGCGGGCUUCGGCCUGGCGGCGAGUGGCGAACGGGUGAGUAAUGCAUCGGAACGUGCCCAGUAGUGGGGGAUAGCCCGGCGAAAGCCGGAUUAAUACCGCAUACGACCUGAGGGUGAAAGCGGGGGACCGAAAGGCCUCGCGCUAUUGGAGCGGCCGAUGUCGGAUUAGCUAGUUGGUGGGGUAAAGGCUUACCAAGGCGACGAUCCGUAGCUGGUCUGAGAGGACGACCAGCCACACUGGGACUGAGACACGGCCCAGACUCCUACGGGAGGCAGCAGUGGGGAAUUUUGGACAAUGGGGGCAACCCUGAUCCAGCCAUGCCGCGUGCGGGAAGAAGGCCGUCGGGUUGUAAACCGCUUUUGUUCGGGAAGAAAUCCUCUGGGCUAAUACCCCGGGGGGAUGACGGUACCGGAAGAAUAAGCACCGGCUAACUACG